CCUACGGGUGGCAGCAGUGAGGAAUAUUGGUCAAUGGACGAGAGUCUGAACCAGCCAAGUCGCGUGAAGGAUGACUGCCCUAUGGGUUGUAAACUUCUUUUAUAUGGGAAUAAAAUGUUCCACGUGUGGGAUUUUGUAUGUACCAUAUGAAUAAGCAUCGGCUAACUCCGUGCCAGCAGCCGCGGUAAUACGGAGGAUCCGAGCGUUAUCCGGAUUUAUUGGGUUUAAAGGGAGCGUAGGUGGAUUGUUAAGUCAGUUGUGAAAGUUUGCGGCUCAACCGUAAAAUUGCAGUUGAAACUGGCAGUCUUGAGUACAGUAGAGGUGGGCGGAAUUCGUGGUGUAGCGGUGAAAUGCUUAGAUAUCACGAAGAACCCCGAUUGCGAAGGCAGUUCACUAAACUGUAACUGACAUUGAGGCUCGAAAGUGUGGGUAUCAAACAGGAUUAGAUACCCCGGUAGUC
rnacentral:rRNA from 1 species